rfam:Myotis lucifugus cont2.30628, whole genome shotgun sequence.
CGUGCACCGGUGGGGUCCCUCGGCCUGGCCUGCGCCCUGUUGCAAUCCAGGACCUCUCGGGGGAUGUCAGAGAGAUGGUUUCGGCCCGGUCCUGCAGGCCAGGCUGAGGGACCCCACUGGUGCACG